GGCACACAGAAGUCAAUGCACCUUCACUUCACAGCACAUGUACUUUGGCUCGGAGUCUGCCAAAUCUUGGGCUAGAACCAAUGCCCCAGAUAAACCAGUGGGCUAAUACUAGGGCAAGCACUAUCAACAGGUUUUGUGAUAAAGCCAGUUAAAGAAAAAGACCUACAGCCACUGGAAAAUCUCCAAAGGUGGCAGAGAAAGCAGAGGUGAAGUCAACCCAAAUCAGUCUCAUAAUUAAUUG